rnacentral:tRNA from 1 species
GCCUGGCUGGCCCAAUUGGUAGAGCAUGUGACUCUUGAUCUCAAGGUAAUGAGUUCAAGCCCCAUGUUGGGCA